rnacentral:rRNA from 1 species
GGUCUGAUUCGGGCCAGAUUGAACGCUGGCGGAUGCUUUACACAUGCAAGUCGAACGGCAGCACGGACUUCGGUCUGGUGGCGAGUGGCGAACGGGUGAGUAAUGUAUCGGAACGUGCCUAGUAGCGGGGGAUAACUACGCGAAAGCGUUAAUACCGCAUACUGCCCUUCGGGGGAAAGCGGGGACCUUCGGGGCCUCGCACUAUUAGAGCGGCCGAUAUCGGAUUAGCUAGUUGGUGGGGUAACGGCUCACCAAGGCGACGAUCCGUAGCUGGUUUGAGAGGACGACUAGCCACACUGGGACUGAGACACGGCCCAGACUCUACGGGAGGCAGCAGUGGGGAAUUUGGACAAUGGGGAAACCCCGAUCCAGCCAUCCGCGUGCGAUGAAGGCCUUCGGGUUGUAAAGCACUUGGCAGGAAAGAAACGGCACGGGAUAAUACCCCGUGCAACUGACGGUACCUGCAGAAUAAGCACCGGCUAACUACGUGCCAGCAGCCGCGGUAAUACGUAGGGUGCAAGCGUUAAUCGGAAUUACUGGGCGUAAAGCGUGCGCAGGCGGUUCGGAAAGAAAGAUGUGAAAUCCCAGAGCUUAACUUUGGAACUGCAUUUUUAACUACCGAGCUAGAGAGUGUGUCAGAGGGAGGUGGAAUUCCGCGUGUAGCAGUGAAAUGCGUAGAUAUGCGGAGGAACACCGAUGGCGAAGGCAGCCUCCUGGGAUAACACUGACGCUCAUGCACGAAAGCGUGGGGAGCAAACAGGAUUAGAUACCCUGGUAGUCCACGCCCUAAACGAUGUCAACUAGCUGCUGGGGCCUUCGGGCCUGGUAGCGCAGCUAACGCGUGAAGUUGACCGCCUGGGGAGUACGGUCGCAAGAUUAAAACUCAAAGGAAUUGACGGGGACCCGCACAAGCGGUGGAUGAUGUGGAUUAAUUCGAUGCAACGCGAAAAACCUUACCUACCCUUGACAUGUCUGGAAUCCCGAAGAGAUUUGGGAGUGCUCGCAAGAGAACCGAACACAGGUGCUGCAUGGUUGUCGUCAGCUCGUGUCGUGAGAUGUUGGGUUAAGUCCCGCAACGAGCGCAACCCUUGUCAUUAGUUGCUACGAAAGGGCACUCUAAUGAGACUGCCGGUGACAAACCGGAGGAAGGUGGGGAUGACGUCAAGUCCUCAUGGCCUCAGCGGGUAGGGCUUCACACGUCAUACAAUGGUCGGGACAGAGGGUCGCCAACCCGCGAGGGGGAGCCAAUCCCAGAAACCCGAUCGUAGUCCGGAUCGCAGUCUGCAACUCGACUGCGUGAAGUCGGAAUCGCUAGUAAUCGCGGAUCAGCAUGUCGCGGUGAAUACGUUCCCGGGUCUUGUACACACCGCCCGUCACACCAUGGGAGUGGGUUUUACCAGAAGUAGUUAGCCUAACCGUAAGGAGUGGCGAUUACCACGGUAGGAUUCAUGACUGGGGUGAAGUCGUAACAAGGUAG